rnacentral:rRNA from 1 species
UACGUAGGUGACAAGCGUUGUCCGGAUUUACUGGGCGUAAAGAGCGCGCAGGCGGUCGAUCAAGUCGAGUGUGAAAGCCCCCGGCUCAACUGGGGAGGGUCAUUCGAUACUGAUCGACUCGAAGGCAGGAGAGGGUAGUGGAAUUCCCGGUGUAGUGGUGAAAUGCGUAGAUAUCGGGAGGAACACCAGUGGCGAAGGCGGCCCGCUGGGCAGGAAGGCUCGCAAGAGCCGGCUGACACUGAGGCGCGACAGCGUGGGGAGCAAACAGG